rfam:Glossina fuscipes fuscipes unplaced genomic scaffold Scaffold111, whole genome shotgun sequence.
AGGUCCCGCGAUCAGGAGCGUGCUAGCGACAACCAGCCCCCGCGAAGUAAUACCUAACGGUGGUCCCGCGGGGGAGAGUGGUAGACGAAGUGUGUGUGGGGGGCUAGUUUUUAGUACGUAUGCGCCAGGGAUGGCGAAUCGUGCAUGCUGCUACCAAGACCCAGCACUAUCUUUCUAAGAUUUUCUACCUCCAGCUCAC